rnacentral:rRNA from 1 species
UACGGAGGGGGCUAGUGUUGUUCGGAAUUACUGGGCGUAAAGGGCGCGUAGGCGGCUUCGCAAGUCCGGGGUGAAAGCCUCCAGCUCAACUGGAGAAGUGCCUUGGAUACUGCGGGGCUCGAGGGAGGUAGGGGUGCGUGGAACUUCCGGUGGAGCGGUGAAAUGCGUUGAUAUCGGAAGGAACGCCGGUGGCGAAAGCGACGCACUGGACCUCUUCUGACGCUGAGGCGCGAAAGCCAGGGGAGCAAACGGG